rnacentral:rRNA from 1 species
CGCGCAGGCGGCGUCGUAGGUCGGUCUUAAAAGUGCGGGGCUUAACCCCGUGAGGGGACCGAAACUGCGAUGCUAGAGUAUCGGAGAGGAAAGCGGAAUUCCUAGUGUAGCGGUGAAAUGCGUAGAUAUUAGGAGGAACACCAGUGGCGAAAGCGGCUUUCUGGACUGUAACUGACGCUGAGGCUCGAAAGCCAGGGGAGCGAACGG